rnacentral:rRNA from 1 species
UACGAAGGGGGCGAGCGUUGUUCGGAUUUACUGGGCGUAAAGGGCGCGCAGGCGGCUCAUUUUGUCAGGCGUGAAAGCCCCGGGCUUAACCUGGGAACUGCGUUUGAUACGGAUGGGCUAGAGUUCGGGAGAGGAGAGUGGAAUUCCCAGUGUAGAGGUGAAAUUCGUAGAUAUUGGGAAGAACACCGGUGGCGAAGGCGGCUCUCUGGGACGGUACUGACGCUGAGACGCGAAAGCGUGAGGAGCAAACAGG